rnacentral:lncRNA from 1 species
GGAGAAAUGAAGAAACCGGUUAUUUGAACAAAAAACAGAAUGGAAUGUCACUUAGAACCCGAGGUCAAAGAAUGUGCUGAUGAAACUGGCACUGCCAGAGGAUGUGUACACACACACACACACACACACACACACACACACACACACACACACACACACACCCCUAACUGAAUAAAUACAUUUUGCAGAGACUGCAGCAUUAGGUGAAGGAGAGACUAUGCUAUGUAUGUAUUAUAUAUUGUGCUCAGUCUCCAGGGACACUGAUGUACACAAUGACAACAGUCACAGAAGGAAUCAGAACAUCCUGAACAUGGGAAAGGACAUCAAACCAAACAAAGAAUUCUGGAAGUAAAAGGGGCCAUUUUAGAUGAAAUGGAAAGAAAACAUGAUCUAUGGUUUACGUGUGUGUGUGAGAGAGAGAGAGACAGGACUAACACAGGGUAAAAAUACAGUCAUCUGUCUCUAAUCUCUUGGAGCCAUACUGUCACACAUAACUGUAGUCCACAUGCACAUCAUCCUUCCCCAGGGCAUGUUCCUCCACUAAGAGGCUCUGUGUUUCAGAUCACUCUUCAGCCAGCCGAUACCCGUGACACACACAUACACACCUCUCAACAGCUAAUGGUUUAAUUCUGCUCGCCAUAAUGUUUAAAUCACAGCCUUAAUAAAACAAAUUCUCCCCCUCCAUCUCUCAGUGCCUUGCUUUGUGUUUUAAUUGUUGUUAAUAGAGCUUCAGUCUGUAUGGACAGAGGAGUUGAUGGUUGGUGCUGAGGCCAGCUCCCCAAGUGGAAUGUCAAUGGACCUUUAUGAAGCCUAGAGGGGAAGCAGGAAGAUCGUUGUUGUUUCUUUAUCACGGGGAGGCAGUGACUGAUCUUAUACUCUGAGAAUGUUUCAAGAUCUUUGAUGCACCGUCUCUCUCUCUCUCUCUCUCUCACACACACACACACACACACACACACACACACACACACACACACACACACACACACACACACACACUGCAACAGAUACACACUCUUUCCCUCAAACAAACAAAAGCACAUACACACAUCUAGAAUGCAGAAGAUGAUAUAGUGGUGACUCUGUGGGUUAUGUUUGGGGAUUAAUUGUUUGAAGAACAAGGUCCAAACAGAAAUAGAUCUAACAACCAUGCCAUAGUACAGUACAGGCACAGGGCACCAGGGCUGCAAAUAUUGCAGAUAUAAAACAUUACGCAAAUUCCAACCACAUACUCAACCCUCUCCCUAUUUUGUAUGGGGUGUACAAUUCUGGUUAGCAACAUUUCUGGGGUUGGCUGUUGGUAUGAUUGGAAUGUCGGUCCGGGCGGAACGUUCCGAUCCAAAGUCAUUCCUCUUUGAUUUGCCGGAGUGAUUUAGGGAAGGAGGUGGGGGUAAUAUUUGUGGGAAGGAAUAAAAACAGAAUGUUUUUAACUGUCUCUGUAUCCCGCCAUCUCAUCCCUUCAUCCGAUGAAUGAAUGAAUGAAUGGAGGAGAAAUAGAACAGCAACACACAACGAAGCAGAACUUCGUUCUGAAAAGAAUUUCAAAUAAAUCAGAAUGUUGUCUUUAGGGAGGAGUGGAGACCUUGGGUCUGCUCGGAGGGAUAUGUGUGUGCACAUGUUUGUGUGUGUGGUUUGUGGUCAUUCUAAGAGUGUUUGUGUGGUUCUCCCUCUUCCUUCCCUGAAACUCAUUUCACAAUGAUUGUACAGAGAAAAACAGUUGCAGGAAGAGCUUUAAAAAUAGGACAUUCUAAUAUGAAUAUAGAAAAUAACACAGGCUUGGAUACUGUAUGAACACACACACUUAAGGACAUACACACAUGACGCCUUUAACAGCCCCUCAUCAAUACCCCAGUGGACAAGGAAUGUUGAGGGCUUGGACGAUGAGGGGGUGGUCAUGAGCUAAUAGUGGAGAGGGUGGGGUAAAUGUGGGUUUUUGCUGGGUGGCAGCAGGGCACAGUUGGGGGUAGCAGGAUCAGGGUUUGGGGUAUGGAUGGAUGAUGGUGGCUAGGUUUGUAUCAGGUUGGUAUGUGGAUGGAUGGAUGAUGGUGGCUAGGUUUGUAUCAGGUUGGUAUGUGGAUGGAUGGAUGAUGGUGACUAGGUUUGUAACAGGUUGGUAUGUGGAUGGAUGGAUGGAUGUUGGUGACUAGGUUUGUAACAGGUUGGUAUGUGGAUGGAUGGAUGGAUGAUGGUGACUAGGUUUGUAACAGGUUGUUAUGUGGAUGGAUGGAUGGAUGAUGGUGACUAGGUUUGUAACAGGUUGGUAUGUGGAUGGAUGGAUGUUGGUGACUAGGUUUGUAACAGGUUGGUAUGUGGAUGGAUGGAUGAUGGUGACUAGGUUUGUAUCAGGUUGGUAUGUGGAUGGAUGGAUGUUGGUGACUAGGUUUGUAACAGGUUGGUAUGUGGAUGGAUGGAUGAUGGUGACUAGGUUUGUAACAUGUUGUUAUGUGGAUGGAUGGAUGUUGGUGACUAGGUUUGUAACAGGUUGGUAUGUGGAUGGAUGGAUGUUGGUGACUAGGUUUGUAUCAGGUUGGUAUGUGGAUGGAUGGAUGUUGGUGACUAGGUUUGUAUCAGGUUGGUAUGUGGAUGGAUGGAUGGAUGAUGGUGGCUAGGUUUGUAUCAGGUUGGUAUGUGGAUGGAUGGAUGUUGGUGGCUAGGUUUGUAUCAGGUUGGUAAUGUGGAUGGAUGGAUGUUGGUGGCUAGGUUUGUAUCAGGUUGGUAUGUGGAUGGAUGGAUGUUGGUGACUAGGUUUGUAUCAGGUUGGUAUGUGGAUGGAUGGAUGUUGGUGACUAGGUUUGUAUCAGGUUGGUAUGUGGAUGGAUGGAUGUUGGUGACUAGGUUUGUAACAUGUUGUUAUGUGGGUGGAUGCAUGAUGUUGGUGACUAGGUUUGUAACAUGUUGUUAUGUGGGUGGAUGCAUGAUGUUG